GGGCUGCAGUAUAUUGACUGUACAAAGGUAGCAUAAUCAUUAGUCAUUUAAUUGAUGACUUGUAUGAAAGAUUGGAUGAAAUAUAGACUGUCUCUUAAUUAAAUUAUAGAAUUUAAUUUUUUAAUUAAAAAGUUAAAAUAAAUUAAAAAGACGAGAAGACCCUAUAGAGUUUUAUAUUUAAAUUAGUUGAGAUUAUUUAUAUAAUUAUUAAUUAAAAUUAUUUUAAAUAUUUUGUUGGGGUGACAAAAAAAUACAAAUAACUUUUUUUAUUAUUUAACAUAUAUAAGUGAAUGUAUGAUCCAAUAUUAUUGAUUAUAAGAAAAAAUUACCUUAGGGAUAACAGCGUAAUUUUUUUUUUUAGUUCAAAUAAGAAAAAGAGUUUGCGACCUCGAUGUUGGAUUAAGAUAAAAUUUAAAUG
rnacentral:rRNA from 1 species